rnacentral:rRNA from 1 species
UACAGAGGUCUCAAGCGUUGUUCGGAUUCAUUGGGCGUAAAGGGUGCGUAGGCGGCGCGGUAAGUCGGGUGUGAAAUUUCGGAGCUUAACUCCGAAACUGCAUUCGAUACUGGCGUGCUUGAGGAUUGGAGAGGAGACUGGAAUUCAUGGUGUAGCAGUGAAAUGCGUAGAGAUCAUGAGGAAGACCAGUGGCGAAGGCGGGUCUCUGGACAGUUCCUGACACUGAGACACGAAGGCCAGGGGAGCAAACGGG